rnacentral:misc_RNA from 1 species
ACCACUUGAGUUAACUGAUCUGUAGGCAC